rnacentral:rRNA from 2 species
CUGGAACGCGCCCCAGGCGCACCCAGAAACCCUUUGUGAACUUAUACCUUACUGUUGCCUCGGCGCAUGCCGGCCCCCCUGGGGGCCCCUCCUUCUGGAGGAGCAGGCACGCCGGCGGCCAACCCAACUCUUGUUUUUACACUGAAACUCUGAGAAUAAAACAUAAAUGAAUCAAAACUUUCAACAACGGAUCUCUUGGUUCUGGCAUCGAUGAAGAACGCAGCGAAAUGCGAUAAGUAAUGUGAAUUGCAGAAUUCAGUGAAUCAUCGAAUCUUUGAACGCACAUUGCGCCCUCUGGUAUUCCGGAGGGCAUGCCUGUUCGAGCGUCAUUUCAACCCUCAAGCCUGGCUUGGUGAUGGGGCACUGCCUGUAAAAGGGCAGGCCCUGAAAUUCAGUGGCGAGCUCGCCAGGACCCCGAGCGCAGUAGUUAAACCCUCGCUUUGGAAGGCCCUGGCGGUGCCCUGCCGUUAAACCCCCAACUUCUGAAAAU